rnacentral:pre_miRNA from 13 species
CAGUUGCUCAGUAGUCAGUGUAGAUCCUGUGGGGCUGUCAGCAGCUACAUCUGGCUACUGGGUCUCCG